rnacentral:rRNA from 1 species
AGAGUUUGAUCCUGGCUCAGAACGAACGCUGGCGGCAGGCUUAACACAUGCAAGUCGAACGCACCUUCGGGUGAGUGGCAGACGGGUGAGUAACGCGUGGGAACGUGCCCUUCAGUUCGGAAUAACCCAGGGAAACUUGGGCUAAUACCGGAUACGUGCGAGAGCAGAAAGAUUUAUCGCUGAAGGAUCGGCCCGCGUCUGAUUAGCUAGUUGGUGGGGUAAUGGCCCACCAAGGCGACGAUCAGUAGCUGGUCUGAGAGGAUGAUCAGCCACAUUGGGACUGAGACACGGCCCAAACUCCUACGGGAGGCAGCAGUGGGGAAUAUUGGACAAUGGGCGCAAGCCUGAUCCAGCCAUGCCGCGUGAGUGAUGAAGGCCUUAGGGUUGUAAAGCUCUUUCGGCGGGGACGAUAAUGACGGUACCCGCAGAAGAAGCCCCGGCUAACUUCGUGCCAGCAGCCGCGGUAAUACGAAGGGGGCUAGCGUUGUUCGGAAUCACUGGGCGUAAAGGGCGCGUAGGCGGCUUGAUAAGUCGGGGGUGAAAGCCUGUGGCUCAACCACAGAAUUGCCUUCGAUACUGCAUGGCUUGAGACCGGAAGAGGUAAGUGGAACUGCGAGUGUAGAGGUGAAAUUCGUAGAUAUUCGCAAGAACACCAGUGGCGAAGGCGGCUUACUGGUCCGGUUCUGNNNCUGANNNGCGAAAGCGUGGGGAGCAAACAGGAUUAGAUACCCUAGUAGUCC